CACAGGAAGUGAUGUCAUCAUACAAACACACCCACAGGAAGUGAUGUCACCAAACAGAUGUACAUCACAGGAAGUGAUGUCACCAAACAGAUGUACAUCACAGGAAAUGACAUCACAAAACAAAUGUACACAUCACUUCACAGGAAGUGAGGUCACCAAACAAAUGUACAUCACAGGAAGUGAUAUAAUUAUAACAUCCUUCUCUCGAAAAGGAAGUGAUAUUACCCAAAAAGUGUAGGUUAUCACAACAAAUAUUCAGGUAAGGACUCUUAAGAGAAAUAAUUGAUAAUAAUAUGUAAAUAUCUAUUCAUAGAUAUCAUGGCUUCUGACCUCUGGGAAAGGAGGUCAAGGUCACAGAUAAUAAAGUACACUGAUUAUAUUGUUUAUUUUUCCCUUCCUGGUAAACUAGUUAAUAUACAUUUAAUGAUAUCUAGGUAGGUAAAUGAUAUCUAUCAAAAUAAUUCACAGUUUUAUCACAAAAUACUUUAGUACUUCAAAUAACAACAUAGAAGUAAAUAGCAUUCAAAAAUUUCAGCAAAGAUAAAUUAGUUUUGCACUAUAUCUGUAAGUCUUAGACUAAACCAGUGUAGUUCUUGAUCCUAAUUAUAGCUAAAGUGACCUGUCUAUACCAACCCUCUGCUGGUCAAAUUAUUUGUUCGAGAAAACCAGGUUUACAGAAAAGACAGAUUUCAAUCUACUGAGAAAUAUAAACAAAUCUGUUCACUCUAUAAUAUAUAGAAAUAAGUAUUUCAUCACUCCGAAAUCUUACCAACAUAUGCACGACUUCUGUUUACUAAGCUACAAAAUAGGUAAGAUAUCAACAGCUUACCAUGUAUUUAAACAUGUGUUACUAUGGUAACCCCAUAUAUUAUUAUUUCACUCCCUGGUAAAAUCCUUUUAAAAUACUGCCAUCUUAUUCCCACAAAAAUGACUUCUAAUUCUUUUAAAUUCUGAGACAUGAAGUUGAAUUUAAAAGUCCUUCUGUAUAUCAUGGUUAGACUUGUUAAUGCCCCACUACAAUGUACAACGAAACCCUGCCACGAAAGAUGGUAAGUGAUUAACAAGAACUAAAUAGUGAUGACCGGACCGCGUGAGCCUUUCAAAUCAGGUCUCUGAGGAGGCGAAAACAAGUGUUAAAUCAAGCUAAUGCCACAAAUUUCUAUUUCUUAACUUUCUCUAGCAAGUUUCAAAUUUCAUUUUUUUUGUUAUGCUUCAGUUUUGAACAUUAAAAUUUGCUGAUUUUUUUUUUUUUUUUUUAUUUUUGAUUUUUGAUUUUCCCCAAGUUCAGAAAGGUUCAGCCAUUUUUCUGAGCCAAAUUAUGAAUCUAAUGUCGACUGUCAUUAACGAAAAGCACAUAAAGAUACAGAUCAAGAUUGAAAGUUUAAUUGAAAUCUUUAAGAUAGAAAAUUAAGAAAUAGAAAAAAUCAGUUUCCUUCUGACUGAAGGAAACAAGUAGCAUUAUGGGAUGUCACAAAAUAAAUGACAUGUUUAAAUUGAUGGAAAGCAAGACAAAUAUUACAAAUGUGAAAUCAUUUUUUACAAUGCUGCCUUUUAAAUAACUAAAUUACAAUGCAUCAUGGGAAAUUGAAAUGAGUGACACCUUCUGUAGUUAAAAAAAAAAAUCUGUGAAUAUUUAUUUAAACUGUGUCAUUGCAACACAACAUAUUAAAAAAUAGCAUGUUCCAGAUUUAAAGGCGAUGAAUUCUUGACUGAUGCUUACGAGAUAAGCAAUUAUUGUUAAAAAUCUUAAGAGUUUGUCUUCUUUCAGAAAUACUUUUCUAUGUCUGAAAGUCUCUCUAGCUAGUCACAUAAAAUCCAUUUUCUCGAAUCUCUCACAAAAUUGAUGAUAAUGUUCACACAUAUUCUCAUUUACUAACAUUCUCGAAAUGUUUAGGAUUUGAAAGAAAUACACAACUUCACGACAAUGAUGAGGGUAGAAACAGUGACAUGCCACAUCUUUUAUAUUAAUCAAAGAAUCAAGUCGUGAGCAUUUAUUUUUUCUCUGUAAAAUGAAUGGUCCCAAGUAAAUCAGCACCUUUUUGUGUUCAUGUUACGACAAACUAUGUCAAUUUUAGUCGCGACAAAGUUUUUAUGAUAAAUAAUUAUAGUAUGAUAUACCGGUAUUAGGUAAAUGGUUUUAAGAUGUAUUAAAA